GAUGAACGCUAGCGGGAGGCCUAACACAUGCAAGCCGAGCGGUAUAAUUCUUUCGGGAAUUAGAGAGCGGCGCACGGGUGCGGAACACGUGUGCAACCUGCCUUUAUCUGGGGGAUAGCCUUCCGAAAGGGAGAUUAAUCCCCCAUAAUAUAUUGACUGGCAUCAGUUAAUAUUGAAAACUCCGGUGGAUCGGGAUGGGCACGCGCAAGAUUGGAAAGUUGGUGAGGUAACGGCUAACCAAGUCAGUGAUCUUUAGGGGGCCUGAGAGGGUGAUCCCCCACACUGGUACUGAGACACGGACCAGACUCCUACGGGAGGCAGCAGUGAGGAAUAUUGGACAAUGGUUGAGAGCCUGAUCCAGCCAUCCCGCGUGAAGGACGACGGCCCUAUGGGUUGUAAACUUCUUUUGUACAGGGAUAAACCUAGAUACGUGUAUCUAGCUGAAGGUACUGUACGAAUAAGCACCGGCUAACUCCGUGCCAGCCGCCGCAGUAA
rnacentral:rRNA from 1 species